CCUCAGUGGAGGUUUGGAUACCGCAUCCCCUACGCAGCUGCAGUGGAAGGCCUCAUCGAUUUGUCUACACUUCAGCAGACUGUGACAAAGCAUAUCUUUGUUUGAACUGAAUGACUUGGAAUGCCAGCUUCCCCAACAAGUGAGUCAGGAUUAAAGGCUUUUCUUGAGAAGAUUUUUACAAGAUGAGAAUGAAUCUUUAGUCUAACUGUAACUACAGGGCAUCAACUACAAGCUGAGGGAAAUGGAAGAAUUACAUGACAACACUGCCAGUUCUUUUUGCAGGAGACCUGCAGCAUCUCAUUGCAAAUGAGAUGUCAAUCCUGUAAUUACCAAUUCAGUCAGUAUUAAUUGUGUGUGUGUUACUUCACGUCAAUCACUGUCAUUUCCAUGUAGUCAGGAUGUUUUAUAGAACCUAAUUUGUAAACAAUAUGCAAAAGUUUAACCCACUUUAAAUUAAAAUCGUCAAACAAGCAUAGUCUUCAGUGAAUACAGAUAAUUGUGUUUUGCCUCCCAAGGAGGAAAAGGGAAUGUUUUAGCUAUUUGUUUCUAUAAAAAGACUUCUAAAAUCCUGGUAGGUCCUAAGAGAAAAACAAACAUGCAUUAAAGGCCAUUAGUCUACAUCCAAAACCAUUGUAACUAACCUGUAAUAUUUAAGUGGAAAAAGCAGGGGUACAAAGUUGAGAGGCAAAAGCAAAACUCAUUCCAGGAAUUCAUAUUUUAUGAACCUAUAUGUAUUCUUGAUUGAAGAUGUGUCCAGGCAAGCAUAAUCCAUGGCUUCCCUGGCAAAUGGAGGUCCAAUUGUUUAAAAAAAAUGUAAUCCCCUGAUUCUCAGUUUGUGAGUUUCAAACAUGAGAAUUUGCUUUAUUUUUAUCUGAUAGAUUUCAGAAAGCCCCCUGUAGGAAUAUUUUAUUUGUCAUGUAUUAUGAGAAUCUAUAAAUUAUAUUUCUCAUGUAAUUACUACUACUACCACCUUUUCACCCUAAAUUUAAUAGAUGAAGUAGAUCCUGGAACUCUUCCUCUUUAAUACAUUUUCCCCUCUGUCCUUUAAUUAUUCUACUGGCUCUUCUCUCUGGUGAUCAACAACCUUGCUGAAUCGUGAACAUUAGUCUUCUUUGGGAGACCUCUGAAAGUGCCAAAUAAAACUUCUACUUAAUAUUCUCAGGAUUGCACUGAAACCUUUGCUGCAAAUUACAUUCUUUCUC